rnacentral:pre_miRNA from 1 species
CAAGUACUCCCUCCGUCCGGAAAUACUUGUCAUUGAAAUGGAUGUAUCUAGAUGUAUUUUAGUUCUAGAUACAUCUAUUUUCAUCCAUUUUGAUGACAAGUAUUUCCGGACGGAGGGAGUAAUAA